GUAUCAGAGUUACCUUCGGAGCACUUCGGACCUUCCCGGCUGUCACCGGCAGCUUCGGGAUUCCAUCUUUACCGAUUCGAAUUUUAGUGUUAUAACGACGAAAGUAACAUCCAUAACUGUGAUAUUGAAAAAAGGAAAAAACCAAAUCUACUUGUCGAGUGUAAGGGAGUCGCUGCAAGAUGAAGGAGUCAGUUGUAAAGUUAGUCCACAAUCUGGCGAAUCCAGUCAAGGUAAUGGGAAACGCGAGCGUAGACGCCAGGCACGCCAACCUGGCCACAGCCGAUACCCCAG